AGAGUUUGAUCCUGGCUCAGGAUGAACGCUGGCGGCGUGCUUAACACAUGCAAGUCGAACGGGAUCCAUCAGGCUUUGCUUGGUGGUGAGAGUGGCGAACGGGUGAGUAAUGCGUGACCGACCUGCCCCAUACACCGGAAUAGCUCCUGGAAACGGGUGGUAAUGCCGGAUGCUCCGACUCCUCGCAUGGGGUGUCGGGAAAGAUUUCAUCGGUAUGGGAUGGGGUCGCGUCCUAUCAGGUAGUCGGCGGGGUAACGGCCCACCGAGCCUACGACGGGUAGCCGGCCUGAGAGGGCGACCGGCCACAUUGGGACUGAGAUACGGCCCAGACUCCUACGGGAGGCAGCAGUGGGGAAUAUUGCACAAUGGGCGCAAGCCUGAUGCAGCGACGCCGCGUGCGGGAUGACGGCCUUCGGGUUGUAAACCGCUUUUGAUCGGGAGCAAGCCUUCGGGUGAGUGUACCUUUCGAAUAAGCACCGGCUAACUACGUGCCAGCAGCCGCGGUAAUACGUAGGGUGCAAGCGUUAUCCGGAAUUAUUGGGCGUAAAGGGCUCGUAGGCGGUUCGUCGCGUCCGGUGUGAAAGUCCAUCGCUUAACGGUGGAUCUGCGCCGGGUACGGGCGGGCUGGAGUGCGGUAGGGGAGACUGGAAUUCCCGGUGUAACGGUGGAAUGUGUAGAUAUCGGGAAGAACACCAAUGGCGAAGGCAGGUCUCUGGGCCGUUACUGACGCUGAGGAGCGAAAGCGUGGGGAGCGAACAGGAUUAGAUACCCUGGUAGUCCACGCCGUAAACGGUGGAUGCUGGAUGUGGGGCCCGUUCCACGGGUUCCGUGUCGGAGCUAACGCGUUAAGCAUCCCGCCUGGGGAGUACGGCCGCAAGGCUAAAACUCAAAGAAAUUGACGGGGGCCCGCACAAGCGGCGGAGCAUGCGGAUUAAUUCGAUGCAACGCGAAGAACCUUACCUGGGCUUGACAUGUUCCCGACAGCCGUAGAGAUAUGGCCUCCCUUCGGGGCGGGUUCACAGGUGGUGCAUGGUCGUCGUCAGCUCGUGUCGUGAGAUGUUKGGUUAAGUCCCGCAACGAGCGCAACCCUCGCCCUGUGUUGCCAGCACGUCAUGGUGGGAACUCACGGGGGACCGCCGGGGUCAACUCGGAGGAAGGUGGGGAUGACGUCAGAUCAUCAUGCCCCUUACGUCCAGGGCUUCACGCAUGCUACAAUGGCCGGUACAACGGGAUGCGACACGGCGACGUGGAGCGGAUCCCUGAAAACCGGUCUCAGUUCGGAUUGGAGUCUGCAACCCGACUCCAUGAAGGCGGAGUCGCUAGUAAUCGCGGAUCAGCAACGCCGCGGUGAAUGCGUUCCCGGGCCUUGUACACACCGCCCGUCAAGUCAUGAAAGUGGGUAGCACCCGAAGCCGGUGGCCUGACCCCUUGUGGGAUGGAGCCGUCUAAGGUGAGACUCGUGAUUGGGACUAAGUCGUAACAAGGUAGCC
rnacentral:rRNA from 1 species